AAGAAACCAACUCAAUGAUUUCUCUAACAACACCCCUCACCUCUGCAUCACUCUCACUCUCCCUCGUGAUAUCGACGAGGUUUCUCGAAACCAACACGUCGCUAAUUAUAUUAGAAAUAGUGGAGUUCAUCAAAACUUCGAGGUUGACUGUUUCGCCGUGUUUGCUUCGUAUGCACUCCACCAUCUCCGCCACCUUGGCCUUCCUCGUGCAUGCCUUGGAAUGAACGGAUUUGGAGGAGAAGAUGACGCUCUGGGUGACGUCACGCAGUAGCUUCCACGUGGCGCCGCAUUCUCUCGACAUUGCUAACGUGCAGUGAUCUAUUGUUGGGAGUUUGCAGAAAACAGAAGUCAUCAGAUACCUGCCUGAAAAGUUCUGGUCAUGGGUUUUGAAGAUCUGCUUGGCGGCUGACGAUGAUGACGCAAUGACGACGACUUGGGUGCCGAGGUGGAAGGACAUGAUUGGACCGUACAGUUUAGCAAGGCUGGUGAUUGCUAUGUGGGGUUUGUUUCUAAAUUCGGAAACUUUUCGGAGAAGUUGCCAUGCAUUAGGGCCUGGUGGGAGUUUCGCUGUUGAUGAUCCAAAAAACCCUAAUUUCUUGAGGGAAAUGAAGAAAAUAGGCAACAGAAUUACCAACCGACAUAUUGAUUUUCUGUCUGAGAAAAAAUCAGGAAUGGAAAGGUUUAAAUUCUUACUCCAGGAACUGCACAGAUCGAGCCUGUAAUUGAUAAAUCUUGGAAUUUUUUUUUCUGGGUUCUUAACCUUGCAGAGAAAGUCAAAAGUCAACUCUGGCUUUGUCCUAGGUAACGUACGUGUGAUAGAAUCAUAAUAAAUAACUAAAUAAAUAAGAAAGAAAAUCUGUAAAUAUAGAGUAGGGGUGAGCAAAAUAUAGAGUAAAGGUGAGCAAGUCGGACUCAUCAAUCCGCUACACCCGACGGAUAGAUUCAUACAUAUGAUUGGAUUCUAAAGUGAUAAAGAACCGUGGGUCUGGGUCUAAGACAAGUUCAAUUUUUUUUAAUACCGUGAAAUCCGUCCCGCCCCGCCAUACAAAACGACGUCGUUUUAUUUACAUUAUAUAAUAUAAUAAAUUAAUAAUAUUAAUGAAUAAAUAAAGUAUCUUUAGUUUAUCAAAUACAUAAAUAAACUAAAUUAUAAUUGUGGAAGUAAUUUCUAUAAAAAUUAUGAAAAAUUCUAAGAAAAUGUAGGAAAAAAGCAUAUAUACGCAACAGUCAACACACGGCAUAAAGAAAAAAAAGAAAAAAGAAAAUGGUGUUGAAUGGAGCUUAAUGGCGUUGGUUAUGCUUGAAAAUGCAACAUUUAUUUUAUUUAAAUUUUGUCUUUUAAGUUCAGAAUUAGUUACUUUUAGUUUUAUAAUGAAUUUUAUGGUUAAAACUUGUAUUAAUUUUUAUUUACUCUUGGCAUUUACAUUAUUUAUGUUUGGUUUCAAUUUAAGAUUUUAGGUUGUUCAAUUUAGUUUCUAAUUAUUCUCCCGUAAAACUUAUAAAUUAUAUAAAAAAAAAUGGUUCAGAUGAUAACGGGUUUCGACCUAUAAAGAUUAGGUCCUGCUACAAACUCGCCAUGGACCCGUCUAUCGUAAACUCAUUGAAUACCCACAAUUUUGAUUUUUCAAAAUCAAGAACCAUUAUUUGACUGGACGAGGGCGGAUUUUGAUAGAACCCGCGGGUUUAUGGCCCGCGAACACCCACUAUAGAGUAUAGACUAUGACUUUGCUAACAAAUAAUACAUCGGUAGAAUAUAAAAACAGCUUUUCUUUGACUUUGCCAAGCUGUAAUUAAGAUCAAAGUUGAAACACAAAUAUUUAUUUUAAACUAGAAUUUAAGACUUUACAACUUCGCCCCAGAGUCUACGUAGAAAAUGGCGAUUUUUUAUCAGUUUCAUCGUUGAAAAAAUGAAGGUGUUUAAGCACCUAUUAAUAGAAUAUAUGUGUAAUUAAUGAGAAAAUGUGUUAUUCAUUUUGAUAAAAUUAUUUUACUAAGAGUUGUGCCUUGUGGUCAUAACCUUUGAAAAUUUAUAAAUAGAUUUCACAAUCCACUAUUUGUAUAUUUUCAUUUUUCAUAUGGAAUUCAAUACAUUAAUUGAAUUCACUUCUCAUCAUAGCAUCUCAUUGUAUAUUGUUGCAUUUAUCAAGUUCAUUUCUUUGUGUCUUAUAAAGUCAUAAACGUCGUUUUGUUCACCAUCUUCGUUGGUUUAUAUAAUUUGGUAAACAUGACUGUAUCACAUUAUAUAAUCGGAAUUUUUAAAUUGAAAUUGUUAAAAACUGCAAUAUAAAGAAAGAAUGUGACAACGGUUGAUAUAUAAGUUACAUAUAGUCAGUCAUAUUCAACUAUAGUCAUAUUCGGCGUAGUAAGCAGGUCGAGAAAAAAAAUUCAAAUUGUUUAAAACAAAUAAAAAUAAAAAUAUUUUUACUAAAAAGUAUUAAAAAAUAAAAAGUAAAAAGUAAAAACUUGCGAAAUAAAUCCGAAAUAAUAAAAAAUAAAAAAAUUCAAUUUAUUUUUUUAUUUGGUAGCAGAUUUUUAGGAAUUUGGAAUUAGAUUUUUAGGAAUUAGAUUGUUGUUAUGAAAAGAGAAAAAAAAAAUAAUUGAUACAAAUUAUGCUAAUUGAUAUAAGGGCAAUAUUAAAAAUACAAUUUAUAGGGAUCACAAAAGAAGAUUUAAAUGAUAGACAUAUCACCAUUUUUUAGCUAUACGAGGGGCUUAUUGCUAAUGACCCCAGUAUUUGUUUUAUUAAACUAGAAUAUAAGUUUAAUUUAAUCUCUUUAGAGAACUUCAAUGGCGUCUCCUUCUUCAGCGCUGUACCAAAUUUCUCGGCCGUGUCAAUUCGGGUCGGAUCCAUCGUAUCCGGAAGGCUCCAAUCAAAGUAAUGCACCAAAGAUGCCACCACUAUUUGAAUAUUCUUCAAAGCCAAAUUAAAUCCAGGGCACAUCCUUCUUCCGGCCCUGAACGGUAUAAAUUCGAAAUGAUUCCCCCUGAAAUCGAUAUUCGAUUCAAGAACUUGUAUAUUAGUCCAACUUGUGACGUAUCAUUUUUGGUUGUAGUCGAUGAUGUAGCCACGUCAUCAUCCUCAUUGAUAUUUUUCGCACGACAAUAUGUUUCACCUUCUUCAUUCACAUACGACAUUAAAACAAUCUGCCCGGAUUUUCAAAUGUUUCGGAAACCAUGACAGUCGUUAUGUUUCCGCAUGACCUUCGAAUGCAUUUAGCUCUCCUAAAUUUCAUUAAAAGGGUAAAAAAAAAAAAAAAAAAAAAAAAAAAAAGCAAGCUCACUUCAUUUCUUUUAUAACGGAGGGGUAAACGUGUAAAAGGAACCAUCUAUCGUGUAAACGCCAAACGAGGGGUUCAUUUAAUGUAACCGGCGUAAUAUCUUGUUAAUCAGUUAUUCAACAUUACGAAUAAUAUAAAAAUAGGAUCAAAACUCAAGUUAUAAGUUUGAGAAACUCACUCUUCCUUUUCUUUUUUCUUUUUCUUCGAUCCGGUUUUGUACUUGAAAGUUGGCAACAGCGCAAUCUGAUCGGCAGGAAGUCCUUUGCUCUCGCUGCCGACCGAUUCUCCCUGCGAUUGCAGUUCCUAAAACAAACCAUUUUUUUUUAUAUAAAUAUUAAUCGAAGAAAAACUCGAUUUUUGAAUAAUACAAUUAAUUCAACACAACCAACCUCGUAAGUCAUUCUAUCAGGUCAAUGUCAUCUGGGAUCAUGUGUUCUUCACUAUUAAAAGAAAAAAAUAAAUCGAGCUGCCGUGAUAAAUACGAUGAAACUCUUUAUAUUUCUCCAUGAGAAAAGCAAACAUUGGAAACAGAAUAAACAACUGUGCAUGAGUCAGUUAAUGCAAUUUACUAUCCAAAGAUUGACGAUAAAUAAUUUUUACACAGAUUAAUCGAACAUUAAGGUUCGAGAUGUCGAGUGUCAUCGGCUGAUGGCGACACAUGCCAGAAAGAUUAUGCUGAAAAUAAACAAAUAUUGAUGAUUAUUCAUACCAUCAUUUUCAAAUAAUAGCCAAUAUGCAAUGUUUAAAAACAGGGGAUUAAGUAAAAUAAAUAAAUUACAGAUCAUUUAUUAUUACAAGGCUUUUGAAAAUUUGAAUACCAGCCCACUUAUUGUACACGAAAAUACUAAAACAAAAAAAUAAAAAUAAAAAAUCAACCGUAUGAAAAUACAAGAAACAUGAAAUAUAUAUAAAUUGAUAUGAUUAAAGAUCAAAUUUUUUUCAAUAUUUUUUUAGACUAGGAAUCAAAAGCAAAGGUGUUUCCUUCUUGAGCACUGUUCCGAAUUUAUCGGCCAUGUCGAUUUGAGUCGGAUCCAUUCCGUUCGGAAGACUCCAAUCGAAAUAAUGCACCAAAGAAGCCACCACUAUUUGAAUAUCUUUCAAAGCAAGAUUAAAUCCAGGGCACAUUCGUCUUCCAGAGCCGAAAGGUAUAUACUCGAAGUGAUUCCCCCGGAAAUCUAUUUUCGAUUCAAGAAACCUGUCGGGGUUAAAACUCGUAGCAUCUUUCCAGGUGUCAGGAUCCAUGGAAAUAGCCCAAGCAUUCACAAGAAUAACACUAUCCUUUGGGAUUACGUAGUCAUCGAUCUUGCACGUCUCGAUUGCACGACGUGGCAUUAAAAGUGGGCCCGGAAUGUGAAGCCUUAGUGUUUCUUUUAUACAUGCCUGGAAAUAGUGGGAGUCGCUUAGGAUCGACUCGUCGAUUAGCGUACGAUCAUCUCCUUCAAAUGCGCUUGCAAUUUCGUCGCGAACUCUACGCAAAAUGUGAGGGUUUUUAAUCAAUUCUACCAUCAACCACACUGAUGUUAUUCCGCUUGUAUCCAUUCCAGCUGCCAAUAGCUCCUGAAAAUGUUGGGAUUACCACUUUCGUAAAAAAAUCCGAUUUUUUUCAAAAAUGAAAAAAUAAUUCCAAUCCGUUCCACAAAAGAAAAAAAUUCGUAAAUCGCAAUCUUGAAAAUUGAGAUGAUCAGAAUAGGCAGAAUUCCGAAUUCCAAUUGUGCAGUCAUUUAAAACAUAAAAUGCAUAAUAAUAUUUGUAUUAUUAGUGUAAUCUUUGGGGAAAAAAUUCAAAAUUUUCGGGAUUAUUUUCGAAAAACCGGAAUCUCAUGUAAAUUGGAAAAUUUCAGAUCAAAAUUGGCGGAAAUCGAAAAUUCAAUUUCAAUAUCCACAAGUCAAUGAAUGUAUAUAUGAAUUGAUCAUAAUAAAUGAAUGAAGGGUAAGAGUAAACUAGGUCAAACCAUGGUAACAUUGCAGAUCUGAUCAUCCGGAAACCCGUUUUCGAUCAUAACAUCCAAGAAAUCACCACCCGAAUUCGCAUCCACAAGUCCUCUGUCGCGCUUUUCCGAUCGUCUCUCCUUGACAAUAUCUUCCCAAAUAUACAUUAUUUUCCCAUGAAUUUCCAUAGCUUUUCGUUUAGUACUAGGUAAAUUCAACUUUCUUAGUACAGGAAACAAAUCAGACAACCCUACAGAGGAAGAAACCAAGUCAAUGAUUUCUCUAACAACAGCCCUCACCUUUCCAUCACCCUCAUCCUCCCUCGUAAUAUCGACGAGGUUUCUCGAAACCAACACGUCGCUAAUUAUAUUAUAAAUAGUGGAGUUCAUCAAAUCUUCGAGGUCGACGGUUUCGCCGGCUUUGCUUCGUAUGUACUCCACCAUCUCCGCCACCUUGGCCUUCCUCGUG
rnacentral:lncRNA from 1 species